CAAACACAUGUGCUUUUACUGAUGCAUGACAUUUUUCCAUCUACUUUUGACCCUCUAAUUUUGCAAUCCAGUCCAAAAAUAAUGAGUAAUUUACAAAAGCACAAAAACUCUCAAAGAAACACCUUAAUACCAUACAAAGGAUGGCACAGAAGUAUAUUAAACUGUAAGAGGAGGAAGUUUUUUAACAGAGAAAAAAAUGACACACUUCACCCUUAACCACAAAUGUAUCAACAGUUCUGAGCUUGAGCCGCAUCUGAGAACAACUCUAUCAUUCAUCUUCAGCAAUAAGGAAAACAUUCUUUCCUCUUCAAGUCUAAACAGCAACACUCAAUUUAGACACCGACCAGCCUCUUCAGAACUCGUAGGG